AGGCUUUGCAUGGAAGUGGGGGGAAAACAGUUGGAAACGACUGCUAAUACCGCAUAAUGUCUACGGACCAAAGGCUUGCUUCGGCUCUCGCCUUUAGAUUGGCCCAAGUGGGAUUACCUAGUUGGUGAGGUAAUGGCUCACCAAGGCGACGAUCCCUAGCUGGUUUGAGAGGAUGAUCAGCCACACUGGGACUGAGACACGGCCCAGACUCCUACGGGAGGCAGCAGUGGGGAAUAUUGCACAAUGGGCGCAAGCCUGAUGCAGCCAUGCCGCGUGUGUGAAGAAGGCCUUCGGGUUGUAAAGCACUUUCAGUCAGGAGGAAAGGUUAGUAGUUAAUACCUGCUAGCUGUGACGUUACUGACAGAAGAAGCACCGGCUAACUCCGUGCCAGCAGCCGCGGUAAUACGGAGGGUGCGAGCGUUAAUCGGAAUUACUGGGCGUAAAGCGUACGCAGGCGGUUUGUUAAGCGAGAUGUGAAAGCCCCGGGCUCAACCUGGGAACUGCAUUUCGAACUGGCAAACUAGAGUGUGAUAGAGGGUGGUAGAAUUUCAGGUGUAGCGGUGAAAUGCGUAGAGAUCUGAAGGAAUACCGAUGGCGAAGGCAGCCCACCUGGGGUCAACACUGACGCUCAUUGUACGAAAAGCGUGGGGAGCAAACGGGGAUUAGAUACCCCCGGGUAGUUCCACGCCGUUAAACGAUGUCUACCUAGAAAGCUCGGGAGCCCUCGGGUCCUGUUUUUUCAAAGCUUAACGCCAUUUAAGUAAGACCCGCCUUGGGGAAGUAACGGGCCGCCAGGUUAUAAAACUUCAAAUGAAAUUGACGGGGGCCCCGCACAAAGCCGGUGGAGCAUGUGGUUUAAUUCGAUGCAACGCGAAGAACCUUACCUACACUUGACAUACAGAGAACUUACCAGAGAUGGUUUGGUGCCUUCGGGAACUCUGAUACAGGUGCUGCAUGGCUGUCGUCAGCUCGUGUUGUGAGAUGUUGGGUUAAAGUCCCGCAACGAGCGCAACCCCUAUCCUUAGUUGCUAGCAGGUAAUGCUGAGAAACUCUAAGGAGACUGCCGGUGAUAAAACCGGAGGAAAGGUGGGGACGACGUCAAGUCAUCAUGGCCCUUACGUGUAGGGCUACACACGUGCUACAAUGGCGCAUACAGAGUGCUGCGAACUCGCGAGAGUAAGCGAAUCACUUAAAGUGCGUCGUAGUCCGGAUUGGAGUCUGCAACUCGACUCCAUGAAGUCGGAAUCGCU
rnacentral:rRNA from 1 species